rnacentral:rRNA from 1 species
AUGUAUUUGGGUAUAUCAUCGACCGGUAUUGUAGUAAACAGCUCACCGGGCUUGCUACUAUAUACUACCAUGGGAACUCGACCCAUCGAGCCGGGAGCUGCAGCAGCAGAACCAUCCUGCUGGGCGGUUGCCUUCUUCGAAGCUGUCUCGCCAUCCAGGCGUUCAACUGGUUUCUUCCAAGCCAUCUUCAGAUCCAAGCAUUCAGAAGGACGUGCCCAUUUGUGGGGGAUGAUCUUGACUUUGGACCGAGCAGAUAACACCGAUCUCCACCAUGGGAAGAAGCUUCUCCUGGCGAGUUUGUGCUCCCAUCGUCUCGGUUUUCUCUUCCUCCUUGCAGCCUGGCUCUUGAGCGUCAAUAAAGCAGUGAAGCCUACCGGCAAGCGGCAACACUGCCUUGAGAUAUUAGAUGAUUUUUUUCCAAAGGGCAUUGAGAUAUUAAACUGGCUGCUUUGUUUCACAAAUCCAAUUGUAUCUUAG